UUAAAAGACUGCAAAGAGAAUUAAAACAGUAGUGGGAACAUUACUUUCCACCAUCGCCGUGUCUAUAGUUAUAUAUGGUCAAAGGCUUGGCGACGAGUUAUUAACGAAAAACAAAAACCAAUCAGACAGCGAAUAUAGCUCGCUCUCCGCUGCGGCCAACCACUGCCGCGUCGAUCUUGCUGUCGCGCCGAAGGGCGCCAGCAGCGUUCUUACCAAAAUAAGUUACGCAAGGAGUUGUAGCUCAGAGUUUCAAUCAUCAUUUGGUAGACGUGCCACAACGCUAUGCGGGACAUCCGGCGCAUAUGUUACCUACUCUACUCCCUGAGAAAAGAAUGUAUUUUAGUUCGUACAAAAAGACACUGGACAAUUCUUCAUUGUGAGCUCAACUGUGGGGAAAUUCAGAAAUUUAACAUCAUAGCGAAGAAGUGUCCGAAUGAUUUGAAUUGUUAUAACAUAGUAACAUUGUCACGCGGAAAUACAACACUUGGUAUGAAAAUAUUAAAUCCUCCGAAAUACA